rnacentral:rRNA from 8 species
GACGCCGAAGGUGGGGCUGAUGACU